rnacentral:lncRNA from 1 species
GUUGUUUUGUUUGGUUGGUUUGUGUUCUGUCACCUUUUUAGCACCCAGUUUCUGAAUCCUUUCUUCCAAUUUUUGGUUAUUAGCUUUUUGAGGUGGAAGGAUCCUCGCUCACAGCCUUUUCUCCCUGCAGCGCUUUCUUUCGAUGCAGAACGAGCCCCAGGCACCCCAGCAGGCCGCACGCUUCUCUUUCGCGGUGGAUGAGGUCGCCUGCAGAUCCAGGCUGGGCCUUAUGGGCUGCCCAGGCGGAGCGGGACUUCCCGGUCAUCGUCAUCCUCCGCUCCCCGCGCUCAGCCUGGCCCGAGCUCGGCUUCCCCAGCCCCUGUCCACCGCCCACCUGCUGAGGAGCAGCAGAGUGCUGUGUCACUCAGGAGUUGGGGACCCCUGACCCAGCCCAACCGCCCUCGUGCGCUGUGCAGAAAGCGCCAUUCUCCAUUUCAAGAUGCCUUUGCCGUUUUGACAGAUGCAAACUGACCCCUCUCGAGGCCACGGCAGAAGGGGAAUCGUGACUGUCUGAAGCCUGGAAGACUGCCCUCAAUUAAGGAAA